GGUGUCCUUUCCUGGUGCUCCCCCAGCUCCCAGAUGGGUCAUAGCACUCACCAUGAUGACUUACUGUCAUCCACCCCCGAGCUUUCAGGGCAGAGACUGUGAUCUGUUCCUUUUCUUAUCCCUAGGGCCGGGUAGUUUGCCUGGAUUGUAGGAGGCGCUCAAUAUAUGAUGGAUGGAUGAUUGGAUGGAUAUGACAGUACCUAACUUACAAGGCUGAGCUGCCCAGGAGCUGGGAUUAUCUUCGCUACUGAGCCGAAGGGUCCUCUAGUGGAGCCCGAUUUUGCCUUUGCCAAGCUUAUGAAGGCAAGGCUUUUGUGAAGUUCAAAGCCGCUCUCCAUUUCUCCAAGGAAGAAGGGUUCCUCCCCAAAAAGGGACAGGCUCUUUGAAGGUUUCUGAAACCUCUGGCAUUAAAGGACAACAUGCACCUCUUUCCAUCUCUCACCCUGAUGAGUAUGUGCAUGUUCUCUCUGGCGACGUCAGUCCCAUCCGUUCAUCCUGAAGGCGGCUACGAAGCAGGCCUGGCCUGAGCCGGAGGCUCCCUCAAGAGGAGGAAGGGAGAGUUCAUUAACGUCAGGUGCUGAGCCAGGCAUCUCAUACCUGAUUUCCCGUUGAAUCAUCACAACCCCAUUAGAUGCUUGGCCUGCAAUAACAGAUCAGUAAAUAUUUGUAAGAUGAAG
rnacentral:lncRNA from 1 species